UUCCCCAGUCUGCAGCAAAAGUGCCACGUCAAGACUGGAAAUCACAGCCUCGAGUGUGUCUCAGGCAGUGCAGAGGGUUCAGGGGGGAAAGCCGAACGCGGCCCCCAAUGCAGGAAGGGAGGCUUUUCCCAAAGACCAGGAGAGGAUUUUAAGUAAAUAGAUGGAAGCUUCUGGAGAUCCUGCUCCGUCGCCCCAGUGUUCAGACUACCUGUUCAGGACAAUGCCGUUGUACAGUAGUCUGCACAUUGGUUAGACUGGGCAAGGGACAGCAACGCCAUGGACUGCUGGGGACAAAAUGUGCUGUUUCCGAGGAGAAGACAGUUGUUGGCUCUUUUUUCGAAUCUCAUAUCCAGUGUUUUUCUUCACAGGUCUUGCACACUAGGGACCAAGAAACCCUCGGGGGCACUUCAGGAAAAGACUGCUCAGGGGAAGACCUGCGGGUAAGGCCUUCUUGACUACUCCCCUAGGUGUGUGUUCAAUGACAUGCGUUCAGAUGCGAGAGAAACAGGUCUCUACUGAUGGGUACUGGUGGAUUUCAUUUUAAAAGAAAAACAAAUGCCUGGUACAUAGCAAUUUACACUUUGUUAUCUGAUUUCUGAAGAUUUAGCAUUCAAGUAUUUUCUUUAAAGUAAAGGUUUUCCCACCUCAAAAUGAAAUACGAUAGAAAUCACUCCAGUCACUUAAGAAUAAUUUAACGAGGAUAGUUUUGAAGUAAAUAUUCAGAGACUUAAAAACUUAUUUGAAGGCAGGCUGUGUGUAUAACUCUUAACACCCUAGGGUUGAAUCCAUUUUGUUAUUUUUUAAAUGCCAAAUGGAUUGUGCUUUCCUGAAAAUUUACUUCUAUAAUAUAAAUAAUAGUAUCUAACAAUAAAAGGAGAGCCUGCCUAGUUCUUGCCAAGCAGACAAUGCGGAUGGGGCUGGCCCUCAGAAGACAGCCAACCUGGACCUCAUGGAGUCUGCAGCCGAGUAGAUCAGGGAAUAGAAACACCUAUCUUUACAUAUCACAAUAUGUAUCUGUACAUUAUAAUACAAAUAAAGUCCAAGAUUGGUUGAUGACUAUUGGUCAUCUGAGCCUGCCUGACUAUAUUUUACAGUCCUUCUACUUCUCUGGGCAUUUAAAAUGAUAAGUUACUUUGUCUAGAAUCCCACUGAUAAAAAAGGAAUUUGUAAACGAAGGCAGAAGUUUUCUUUGGUCAGUUUCCAGCAGUCCAGGAGGUGAAGGAGGGUGGGAGAGGGGGAGGAAGGUGGGAGGGAGGAAAACCCUCAAGCUGAAUGAAAUCCCAAUAGAGAAAAUAAUAAAGAGAAAGUCUGGGUUGCAAUAUGAUCUGUGCUGAACUUUGGUGGUGAGUUCCUUAAAGAAAGUUCUGGAAAAAUGUUACCGCCUUACCCCUAAAUUCCCUCAAUCCCCAUUUAUCUCUACCCCCAAACCAUUCUAUAGAAUGAAAACAUCUUCUGUUCUGUAGGCUUUUUGCGAGAAAUGAAUAUAAUCUCUUUUGUCCUUUUGUAAACUCUUUAAGGCUACAAUGCUUUCUGAACAAAUUCUAUAAAUUAUACCUUUUGCGACAAUUAAAAAUUCUCAAGUUCUCUUUUGCAAACAUCUUAGUACAAAAAUUUCUCCAAGUUGUCUCUUGUCAAAAAUUUUUAUUUUUUAAAAAUUUCCCUUCUGAUCAUUCCAAAAUUGGUGUAAAGAACAUAUAACUUUUCUCAUCAGUUCAUCAUUUUUAGGUAAAAGGUAGAAAGCAAGGAGAAAUUUGGCAGUCUAAAUCACUUGGAUGAUAAAAUUAAGUCAACCCUUUUUUAUUGUGACUUGGCAACUUCCAUAUUAAUUAUUUAAAAAAAAAACAAGUGAUAUUUUUUAAGUUUAUGUAAUUUCUUUUAUAGAUAAAAACGUUUUAAAAACUAUUAGGUAACUUAUGGGAGACUAUUUUUUUUAAGAAACAUUUUUACUUAUUGAUAAAAUUACUAAAGAAGAAAGAUAAGCUUUAUGGUACCUUGGCAAUGUUUAAGGCUUCUCAAAUUUUCUGUCUUUUGUUCUUUUGAAAUGAUUGAAUUUCGUAACUUGUUUCCAAUUAAUGAUUGAAUUUAAAUUUCUUUAUUCAGAUUAAAUGGCCUUUUCAUUUCAAAGAAACUAACCCCUAGUGGUCCCUCCCCUAUUUUCUCCCUCUUACUUUUUUAUUUUUUUAUUUUUUUUUUUUUUACUUUUAGUCUGGAGACAUAGGGACACAGGCCAUUCUUGGCAUGCAUACAGGAGUGGAAGUUUAAGAAUUACUUUGCAAGGGGGUAGCCAAGGAGCCCCCCACAUGCUCCGUGGGGCACAUGUCCUGCUAUGCCAACCCACUUCUGAUGCAACAAAUGCAAAGAUACAAUGCUUAUCUUUCAACCGUACGAACUAAAGACCACAAGUAAAGCUCACUUUAUAAACCUUUGCUGAAUGAAGUCAGCAUGUUCCUUUAUACGCGGGUACGUGUGCCAACAUUUAUAUACACAUGACAAAAAAUAACCUUGUCUAUUUCCAGGUAAUUAGAAUAAUCUUUAAUUUUAUCUUGAUAUUACUUUAUAAGGAGAUAUACAAAUAUUUUAGGGAUCAUGGAAUCUCUUCCAGAGGGAAAUAACCCACAGUGAACAUCUUCAACUAAAAUUACCGCUGGAUAUGAUGGUUGCAUGAAUCAUUAAUUGAGAGAGUUAACUGGAUCAAAUUAUUUAUGGGAGAGAGAGGGAAAACUAUACAGUGAUAUCUAAUUUCCCUCAAAAUAGUCUUUGUGAGCGAAUCACUCUAUAGUAACAGCAACAAUAACAAAAUAACAUUUUAAGACUGAGUGUAUCUGCCCAUGUGCAGAGGAAACCUGGAGGAAGCAGGGCCUGGCUGGACGGAGUUGUCAUGUGUCUGCCUGUCUACACUUGCUGUGCAGAACAUCCGCUCACCUGUACAGCAGGCACAGACAGGCAGUCACACGACAACCCAGCCUGAGUGACAACCAGCCACUGAGAGAGCAGCCCUCACACCAUAGCAUCUACACCAAGAGCUACGGCCACAGUGAGGGGUGCGGGGCCUGGGGUUUUCAUCUGUUGGCUUAAUACUUAAUGCGCAUGUAUUAGUAUUAUUUUAUCAUUUAUUUUGAUUCGAAUAUUGAAACCCACCAAAAGUCAAGUGAGUGGUGCCUAUGAAAUAUAAUAAAACCCAUUUCUAAAAA